GUCAAAUUGGCUGAGAGAGCAGGCAGACACCGAUCUGCACAUUGGGUUCUUAGUCACAAACAGACCUGCUAUCAUGGUCAAAUACCUUUUGAGAUGGUUUCUUUGUAGGUAUGCACACAUUCUACAUCUUGUAGUGAAGGGUGCAGUUUAGAAAGCCAAUAUAAAGAUUCAAAUUAUAGCUGAGCAUUGAAGGAGGAUGUCUGUGCAUUUCUACCACAGCGUGAGG